rnacentral:lncRNA from 1 species
UCUAUGAAGAAACGAAUCCAGGAGAAUAAAAGAGACAUAGCAAAUAAAACAAAAACUACAGCAUUAGCACAACAUGCAAGUACAUCAGACUUGGACAUGAAAUGGUGCAGGAGUAAAUUAGUAUGCAGAGAGCGUGACCUGAAGAGAGGGAGGAUUGCGGUAGCAAUGACUAUAUAUACUAAUCGUAAUAAGCAGUGUGGGCCAGUUAAUGAAUUGGACCCUGCCGUGGUGAGCAGCGCAUGGAAGUGGUGUAGUACCUAUAGAUAUUGAGUGGCAUAGACCCAGGGACCUCGUAGCGGCGAAUAAUACGUU